AUUGAACGCUGGCGGCAGGCUUAACACAUGCAAGUCGAGCGGAGUGAUGGUGCUUGCACUAUCACUUAGCGGCGGACGGGUGAGUAAUGCUUAGGAAUCUGCCAUUUAGUGGGGGACAACAUUCCGAAAGGAAUGCUAAUACCGCAUACGUCCUACGGGAGAAAGCAGGGGAUCUUCGGACCUUGCGCUAAAUGAUGAGCCUAAGUCGGAGUAGCUAGUUGGUGGGGUAAAGGCCUACCAAGGCGACGACCUGUAGCGGGUCUGAGAGGAUGAUCCGCCACACUGGGACUGAGACACGGCCCAGACUCCUACGGGAGGCAGCAGUGGGGAAUAUUGGACAAUGGGCGGAAGCCUGAUCCAGCCAUGCCGCGUGUGUGAAGAAGGCCUCUUGGUUGUAAAGCACUUUAAGCGAGGAGGAGGCUACUAGUACUAAUACUACUGGAUAGUGGACGUUACUCGCAGAAUAAGCACCGGCUAACUCUGUGCCAGCCGCCGCUGUAAUAC
rnacentral:rRNA from 1 species